UUUGCUCAUCCAAAACUACCAACCCUGGGAGCUGGGGAGAUGGUGCAGUUGCCCUCGCUAACCUGAGUGAUUCUGAAACUACACAAGCUGCAUUUGGGAGAAGGAGAAGUGUCUGGGAAGGGGCCCCGAAGAGAGGAAGAAGAACAGACGGAGACCAGGGGGAACUGGGAAGGAGCAAGUGCGGAGGCGAUCCUGAAGCUGCUGAGGAAGGAAGAUGGGUGAGCUCGCCUCAAGCUCUUUUGCUGCAGAAAUGCACGGAAAAUAUGAGAGGAUCCUGAAAGAAUUCUCUGGCAGAGAGCACAUCUUGUUUUCGGCCGGCAUUUGUUCGUCGUCGUCGUCGUCACUACCUACAUUCCCCCGCCGUGUUCACAUAUGAAAACAAUUAUUUCUCAGUUCAGGAAGUCGGUUUUAAUCGUUAGUUUGGCUUCAAAGGAUCCAGCACCCUUUACAAGGUCAGACUAGCUCCAAAGACAGCUAGGCAGAAACUCUGGCCUGGGAGUAAGCUGAGCUUUCCUGGUAGGCAACUGCUUAGAACUUGUGCUUGAGUCCUGGAAAUGAGGAAGAUGUCCUAUCUGAGGUGGAAGGGAAGAGUUCAUCCCUGAGUGCUGGAGAGACGGUCUCAGAGAAACAACUUCCCUCGGUCUCACCUGCACUCGGUAUUCAACAAGUUCCACUGGAGAGACUCGAGCCCCACACAGGGGUCAGGGCCCUGAUUUCUUGCCCCAGAUGUGUGACCCUAGGCAAAUCCAUCAGAAUCUAGGAAUUUCUAUUUACUCAGGUGUAUGUAGGGUUUCAACCAGUCCUUCUGCUAAGCAUAAAUACCUUCUGUUUUCCUUAUUGGCUCUGCACCAUGACAACUGUAAAUUAAUCUUUAUCUUCAGACAGCAAUAGAAUUAGACGCAAUAUGAGCAUUUUGCUUUGAUGGAUAUAACAGAAAGCCUUCACAUCUGUGCACGUGGUAGGGGUUAAUAUAAUGGAGAGCCCUACACACCAGGGUCUUUCAGAUUAUAGUGGGCAAAAGAAUCAGCUCAUUGAAAAUGCAUUGAGAGAUUGGCCCUGAGAAUCAGCGCAGACAGCUGCACCAUGUGGGUCAGGUCUGGAGGGGAUACUUACAGACAUCUGAGCCUUGGCUGGGCACCCAGGCUGUCCCCGCACAGCUGGGCCUGCUCUUCCUACCCAACUUAAGAGAUUUUGCUG
rnacentral:lncRNA from 1 species